CUAAAAAGCACAACUCCAACUAGAUAGAUACUUUGAAUGUUUGAGGUGAUAUUUGUGUUGGCAUUUUACAUUUUAAUAAAAUCAUAAGGGAAAGGUUUUCUACAUUUUAAAGUUAAGAUUACCUUAGAAUAUAUACCUUCCUCCAUUAUUUUAGUUCCAGAUUAAAUGGAUUCAAAUCGACUACAAACAGUACAUUGGGAUGCACCCUUUUUAUGUCAAACUCAUGUCAGUGGUAAUUGGGAAGUUUGGAAAUUAGAAAUGUUUGUGUUAUGUAAACAUUUCUGGCCUGAGCCACCCAUUUUACAGCUCCCACCAUGCUUCAAAUACAGGCACAAAGGGGCUUCCAGGUGACUUGCAAAUGCCCUGUCACUACUAACCCUUUGAGUCAAAUUAUAGUUGCAUUAAAGUUAAGCAUAUUCAACUACAUGCCCUUCCCAAAUAAAAAAUGAGUGAGGAAGAGAACAGCAAUUUAAAUAAGCUUAGCCAGGGGUGAGCAUCAAGUGAAAAAUUGGAAUUUAAUGUUUCCCCGGUUGAUUGCCAUUCCUAUGAGCAGCUCACUACAGAAUAUAAUUAUAUUGUUUACAUGUUGAACACAUACUCUUUUUAUAUGAAUUAUGACCCCUGAUUUUGUGCAUUUAUAUUUAAACUCUAUAGGGUUAAUUAUGUAAAGCUAUGUUUUAAUUUCUGGGCAAUUCUUUUCAGUAAUUCAGGUAAGAGUGAUAUUUUUCACCUGACUUUUUCUAAUUCCCCAGAUAAAAUGGGACUCCAGUUUACAAAACUUUUAUGUGCAAUUUGGCCCUGUUAGUAUUCGGGGCUUUUAGCAACAUGUUUCAAGCUAUUUUAGGUAGAUAGAACAGUUCCACAGAGUAAAGGGUAUUUAGACAUGGAGACUUAUAAUGAGGGCCUGGGCCCUCAUAUGGCCAGAAUAUAAAGCAAGCAACAUAUUUGAGCCUUAAUCUGUAUUUUUUUCCUUAUAAAACUCAUUUUUAACUCGUGUUAAGGUCUCAUACAAGUUUUGGAAUAAGAGUAAUAUCUUUGUUAUAGUUUUUCUUAAAUUUAGAACUUGUAUAUAAUGAAUGAUGUGAGUUUUCUUUUCAUUGUUUAAUUGUGUUGUAAUUUCUUUGGUUAUGAAAUUAAUGUAGCUCUGCUAGUAAAGAAAAAAAAAGCUUAGUAGCAGUGCUGGGAUUGUAGGGCAAAUUAUGGUUUCCUAUACUUAUAUAUUUUUAAGUUACAUUAUCAGUAAUCAUAAAGCGCUAUCAUUGUUUUGCAUUUAGGUACCACUCAGACCUGGAAAAAUUUGAAAGUAACCAGUUUUCCUAAAACAGUUUUCUAUAUCUUGUGUUAUUCAAGGGGAUUAAAUUUUAAAAUAGUACAUUACUUGGGACCAUUAUCCAUAUAUUAGGUAUUAUAUAUUGUACUACAUAUUAUGUAGGUUCAUCCACAUAUAGUCCUUAAAUUUAAUAAGAUUAUUAAACUGCAGUGGGGGUGUCUGCAUAUCUAUAAAUUCUAAAUUAUGUAAUCUAUAAAUAGUGCUUGAAGUUUUAUUAAUUGUAUGUAAUUCUUGCAAAUUUUAUAUCCAAAAAAAUUUUAAUGUUUCUGUUGAUUUAAGAGAAAGGGGAGAGGGAGAGAGAGAUAGAAACAUCAGUGACAAGAGAAUCAUCUGUUGGCUGCCUCUUGCACACCCCCCAUUGGGGACCGCAACCUGGGCAUGUGCCCUGACCAGGAAUCAAACCAUGACUUCCUGGUUCAUAGGUAAAUGAUCAGCUAUGAGCCACACCGGUGGACAGGCAAAAAAAAAUUUUUAAAUGCUUAUAACCAGGUGCCUCACCUGGCCAAAUAAAAUUGUAAUAAAGUACCUCCAGAUAUUUGCCUUUCAACAAGGUUAUUUCCCUGAAAACAUUCAGGAGACAUUUUUGAAAGGAAUUCAAAUUAAGGCAGAAUUAUUUAAAAUUAUAAA